UGGGGAAUUUUGGACAAUGGGCGAAAGCCUGAUCCAGCAAUGCCGCGUGUGUGAAGAAGGCCUUCGGGUUGUAAAGCACUUUUGUCCGGAAAGAAAUCCUCUGGGUUAAUACCUCGGGGGGAUGACGGUACCGGAAGAAUAAGCACCGGCUAACUACGUGCCAGCAGCCGCGGUAAUACGUAGGGUGCAAGCGUUAAUCGGAAUUACUGGGCGUAAAGCGUGCGCAGGCGGUUUUGUAAGACGGAUGUGAAACCCCCGGGCUUAACCUGGGAACUGCAUUCGUGACUGCAAGGCUAGAGUAUGGCAGAGGGGGGUAGAAUUCCACGUGUAGCAGUGAAAUGCGUAGAGAUGUGGAGGAAUACCGAUGGCGAAGGCAGCCCCCUGGGCCAAUACUGACGCUCAUGCACGAAAGCGUGGGGAGCAAACAGGAUUAGAUACCCUGGUAGUCCACGCCCUAAACGAUGUCAACUAGUUGUUGGGGAUUCAUUUCCUUAGUAACGUAGCUAACGCGUGAAGUUGACCGCCUGGGGAGUACGGUCGCAAGAUUAAAACUUAAAGGAAUUGAC
rnacentral:rRNA from 1 species